CGCUGCUGCAGUAUGCUGACCCUGUGAGCGCCCAGCAUGCCAAGCUGUCCCUGGAUGGCCAGAACAUCUACAAUGCCUGCUGCACGCUGCGCAUCGACUUCUCCAAGCUCACCAGUCUCAACGUCAAAUACAACAACGACAAGAGCCGAGACUACACACGCCCUGACCUGCCCUCUGGAGACAGCCAGCCAUCACUGGAUCAGACCAUGGCAGCAGCCUUUGGCCUCUCUGUUCCUAAUGUCCAUGGAGCCCUGGCACCCCUGGCCAUACCCUCUGCUGCUGCUGCUGCUGCUGCAGCCGGCCGCAUUGCCAUCCCAGGGCUGGCAGGCGCCGGGAAUUCCGUCCUUUUGGUCAGCAACUUGAACCCUGAGGCGUCUACGGUGAUGUGCAGCGGGUGAAGAUCCUGUUCAACAAGAAGGAGAACGCACUUGUGCAGAUGGCAGACGGCAGCCAGGCCCAGCUGGCCAUGAGCCACCUGAACGGGCACAAGCUGCAUGGGAAGUCAGUGCGCAUCACCCUGUCAAAGCACCAGAGUGUGCAGCUGCCUCGUGAGGGACAGGAGGACCAGGGCCUGACCAAGGACUAUGGCAGCUCACCGCUGCACCGCUUCAAGAAACCUGGCUCCAAGAACUUUCAGAACAUCUUUCCUCCCUCAGCUACCCUGCACCUCUCCAACAUCCCGCCCUCUGUGUCAGAGGAUGACCUCAAGAGCCUCUUCUCCAGCAAUGGCGGUGUGGUCAAAGGCUUCAAGUUCUUCCAGAAGGACCGCAAGAUGGCACUGAUCCAGAUGGGCUCUGUGGAGGAGGCAGUGCAGGCACUAAUUGAGCUGCACAACCAUGACCUGGGCGAGAACCAC
rnacentral:lncRNA from 1 species